UAAUAAGUUUGUUCAUAUCAAGGUUCC
rnacentral:sRNA from 1 species